CCUACGGGUGGUAGCAGUGAGGAAUAUUGCACAAUGGGGGAAACCCUGAUGCAGCGACGCCGCGUGAGUGAAGAAGGCAUUCGGUAUGUAAAGCUCUAUCAGCAGGGAAGAAAAGGACGGUACCUGAGUACGAAGCGCCGGCUAAAUACGUGCCAGCAGCCGCGGUAAUACGUAGGGGGGAGGCGUUAUUCGGAUUUACUGGGUGGAAAGGGAGCGUAGACGGCAAUGCAAGGCGGGAGUGAAAGGCGGGGGCUCAACCCCCGGACUGCUGUGGAAACUGUACGGCUGGAGUGCAGGAGAGGUAAGUGGAAUUCCUAGUGUAGCGGUGAAAUGCGUAGAUAUUAGGAGGAACACCAGUGGCGAAGGCGGCUUACUGGACUGUAACUGACGUUGAGGCUCGAAAGCGUGGGGAGCAAACAGGAUUAGAUACCCCAGUAGUC
rnacentral:rRNA from 1 species